rnacentral:rRNA from 1 species
GAGAUUGGGAGAGGGAUGUGGAAUUCCAGGUGUAGCGGUGAAAUGCGUAGAUAUCUGGAGGAACACCGGUGGCGAAGGCGGCAUCCUGGACCGGUAUUGACGCUGAGGCGCGAAAGCUAGGGGAGCAAACGGGAUUAGAUACCCCGGUAGUCCUAGCCCUAAACGAUGAGUGCUUGGUGUGGCGGGUAUCGAUCCCUGCCGUGCCGAAGCUAACGCAUUAAGCACUCCGCCUGGGGAGUACGGUCGCAAGGCUGAAACUCAAAUGAAUUGACGG